UACGUAGGGGGCUAGCGUUGUCCGGAAUCAUUGGGCGUAAAGAGCGCGUAGGCGGCCAGAUAAGUCCGGUGUGAAAGUCAAAGGCUCAACCUUUGAAUGCCGCUGGAAACUGUCUGGCUAGAGUCCGGGAGGGGCGAGUGGAAUUCCUGGUGUAGCGGUGAAAUGCGCAGAUAUCAGGAGGAACACCAAUGGCGAAGGCGGCUCACUGGCCCGGUACUGACGCUGAGGUGCGAAAGCGUGGGGAGCAAACAGG
rnacentral:rRNA from 1 species